rnacentral:sRNA from 1 species
GAUACCAGGGUCAAAAGGUCAAAAAGCCGUUCGUGCUUGCACGAUAAGGCUUUUGAACUUGGGACCCGCCAAACAUGAGAAAGCAGCGAUUUACGCAGUAAAUCAGCGGAUUUCGAAUGUUUGUAGAAUUGCGUGAGCUGCCUUGCAGCGGAGCAAUUCGUAGGCAUC